AAAUCACUGGGCAGCAGUCCAGGGUCAGUGGUAUUUACACUGCUACAGACCUCUCAGUUUUUAAACUUAAUUAUGCAUGUGGUGAGAGUUGACAACGCUGGUGUUUUUUUUAAACUCUGGAAACAAGAUAGGAGGUCGAGACUCCUUCUAAAGUGAGACCAAACACUGUUCAAUGUUGCAACAUGAAACCAACAGUCAGAAAGCUAAUUCCAAACUUGAUUCUGUUAAAAGGACAAUUCAAAAAAGGUCCAGCUGGAACUAGCAAAGAUGUUGCACAAUUAAUUGACGAAACUUUGGGAUAAGUGACAGGAACGUGGCUCGAUUUGAAUUAAACGCUUACUCUGCUUGAUGACUAUACUGUUGCUGGGUGCCUGGAGAUUCCCAUGACUUGGCACCAGAUUCAAACUGAUGAUGAGAAAGGGGACUCAGUGCUGCAGAGUUCACAAGAUUUGGUGGGCAGCUUUCUUUGAGCCAACAGGGCAAGGGGACCAUCCUCCAGCAAGAAGAAUAGAAUCCCACCUGAACAGUCAGCCAACCCAGGCAGUGAGAGAGGAGGCUAAUUUGUUUCCAUUUGCAAGAUUCAUCUCUACAGAAACUUGACCACAGAGGUUUUAACCUCCAUUUUGUCUUCAGAGAACCAAGGGAAGAACUCAUAAGGCCUGUAAUACUUCCCAUCCUAAAGGAUUGUUCAUCCAUGUGAUUUACUUCUAGCUUUUCUUUGCUAAUAGCCUAAACACAGGCCUUGUAUUUGAGAAUCCUUCUUUACUUGUGUAUCUAUCUGUGUGCAUGAGGGAGUGAGUGUAUUUCAUUGCAUCCAUAUUUCGGGGUGUUGUGUGAAUAAACAUCAACCGUUCUUUUGAUUUAAACUUACUCAAAUGCCUGAUUCAUGUUUAUUAUUGAAAAUCACAACACUAAAGAUAAAGGUUUAAAAGACUUGCGGGCAACCAAGAGAUAAGGAAAAAGGGGAAAUGUUAUCCCAUCACCUCCCCCUGUCCAUACCAAGGAUGCCUAAACAUAUUUGUGCAAUUGUUGAUAUCUGGGCACUGCUUAAUCGAAGAGCCUCAAACUGACCUUUGCACUGAUAGUGUUAUGGAUAGCCAAGUGCAGAAAAAGUUCACACUAAGACUCUGCAAUCAAUGCUGGAAUACCCAUAUUGUUAAAUUGAGUACAGUUUUUAUGCUAUGAUUCAUAUGUACUUGUGUAAACAAAUGCUCAGAUUAUGAUGCUAGAAUUCUACUUAGGGUUUUGAAACUGAGUAGAACUAUCACCUUUGUUCUGGCUAGUUAUAUUUCAUGGACUAAUGAGGUUUUCAAGCCUGCAGGAAGUGUUAGAAGUUGGUCAUUUGCUGACAAGACAAGAUUUUAUCUGAAUGUCAGAGUGUAGGAAUCUGAUGAUCUAGCAGUAAUGGCAUGAUUAUAAAAGUGCUUCAAUGUUUUGUGCCUGAGUGAACUCCUUUCCUGUUCUGUACUUUGUCAUGCUGAUAUUUUCACAAACUUCUGUGUUGAGAAGAACUGUUCAAGUGAGUUAAGUUGGGGAGGAGUGAAAAAUCAAAUAGGGCAUUUGUUAACUAUAUCUAUUGUACCGACUUGUUAUCUACACUUCUGUUAUCUCAAAGUUAACGUUAUCAAGUUUUAGUCUUUAACAGAGCAUCUGAUAUGGAUAUCUAUUAGCCUGUAAGAAUUUUAUUCUUGUAACUAUUGUGUAUAGGUACACAUUCAAUUUCAAAACUUCACCUAUUAAAUAAAGUAUCAUGGUA